GAAACAUUUGAAGUGACUUAGUGGCGGACGGGUGAGUAACGCGUGGGUAACCUGCCCUGUACUGGGGGACAACAGUUGGAAACGGCUGCUAAUACCGCAUAAGCGCACAGCAUCGCAUGGUGCAGUGUGAAAAACUCCGGUGGUACAGGAUGGACCCGCGUCUGAUUAGCUAGUUGGUGGGGUAACGGCCUACCAAGGCGACGAUCAGUAGCCGGCCUGAGAGGGUGAACGGCCACAUUGGGACUGAGACACGGCCCAGACUCCUACGGGAGGCAGCAGUGGGGAAUAUUGCACAAUGGGCGCAAGCCUGAUGCAGCGACGCCGCGUGAGUGAUGAAGUAUUUCGGUAUGUAAAGCUCUAUCAGCAGGGAAGAAAAUGACGGUACCUGACUAAGAAGCACCGGCUAAAUACGUGCCAGCAGCCGCGGUAAUACGUAUGGUGCAAGCGUUAUCCGGAUUUACUGGGUGUAAAGGGAGCGUAGGCGGCAUGGCAAGUCAGAUGUGAAAGCCCGGGGCCCAACCCCGGAACUGCAUUUGAAACUGUCAGGCUAGAGUACCGGAGAGGUAAGCGGAAUUCCUAGUGUAGCGGUGAAAUGCGUAGAUAUUAGGAGGAACACCAGUGGCGAAGGCGGCUUACUGGACGGUAACUGACGCUGAGGCUCGAAAGCGUGGGGAGCAAAACAGGAUUAGAUACCCUGGUAGUCC
rnacentral:rRNA from 1 species